AACGCACAUUGCGCCCAUUAGUAUUCUAGUGGGCAUGCCUGUUCGAGCGUCGUUUCAACCCUCAAGCCCUAGCUGCUUGGUGUUGGGAGUUUACCUGCGGGUAAUUCCUGAAAUAAAUCGGCGGAGUCGCGGUGACCCCAAGCGUAGUAAUUUUUCCUCGCUUUAGGUGUGUCGGUGCUGACGUUCGGCCGCUAAACCCCUUAUUUUCUAGUGGUUGACCUCGGAUCAGGUAGGAAUACCCGCUGAACUUAA
rnacentral:misc_RNA from 1 species